rnacentral:rRNA from 1 species
AGAGUUUGAUCCUGGCUCAGGAUGAACGCUGGCGGCGUGCUUAACACAUGCAAGUCGAACGAUGACUUUUGUGCUUGCACAAAAUGAUUAGUGGCGAACGGGUGAGUAACACGUGAGUAACCUGCCCUUAACUUCGGGAUAAGCCUGGGAAACCGGGUCUAAUACCGGAUACGACGGAUUCCCGCAUGGGGGUCCGUGGAAAGCUUGAUGCGGUUUUGGAUGGACUCGCGGCCUAUCAGCUAGUUGGUUGGGGUAAUGGCCCACCAAGGCGACGACGGGUAGCCGGCCUGAGAGGGUGACCGGUCACACUGGGACUGAGACACGGCCCAGACUCCUACGGGAGGCAGCAGUGGGGAAUAUUGCACAAUGGGCGAAAGCCUGAUGCAGCGACGCCGCGUGAGGGACGAAGGCCUUCGGGUUGUAAACCUCUUUCAGCAGGGAAGAAGCGAAAGUGACGGUACCUGCAGAAGAAGCGCCGGCUAACUACGUGCCAGCAGCCGCGGUAAUACGUAGGGCGCAAGCGUUAUCCGGAAUUAUUGGGCGUAAAGAGCUCGUAGGCGGUUUGUCGCGUCUGCUGUGAAAGCCCGGGGCUCAACCCCGGGUCUGCAGUGGGUACGGGCAGACUAGAGUGAUGUAGGGGAGACUGGAAUUCCUGGUGUAGCGGUGAAAUGCGCAGAUAUCAGGAGGAACACCGAUGGCGAAGGCAGGUCUCUGGGCAUUAACUGACGCUGAGGAGCGAAAGCAUGGGGAGCGAACAGGAUUAGAUACCCUGGUAGUCCAUGCCGUAAACGUUGGGCACUAGGUGUGGGGGGACAUUCCACGUUUUCCGCGCC